GUAGUAUUGGCUCAUAUUUGGGUCAAUUCCAUACCGGAUGAAAAGAACAGUAUGUUAUGCCAAGAGUGGAGGUCUUGCUGUUCAACCAUUGCGUGCAUGUUUUCAGCUCUGCUGCAGGAAGCUUGGUUUCUUGCUGUACACGUACUAUUUUAUAUUGUUAUUGGAUAUAUUUUGCCCCCUUAGGCUGGAGGAAUAUCCAAAUAACUGGUUAAAGCUCGAUUUGUGAAACUGGGAUAUUCUCUGUGUGUUGUAGUCUUUGGUGGAACAUGCAUAGUUUAGUAUUUCACCCCCAUCAUGAUGCAUGGAGGAUAUGUCCAUCUUCGAUGCCAUAAAAGAAGUUGUUCAUUUCCAUUGAGGGUGUGGAGUAAAAAGAAUUGCCAGUCCCACCUGCACCUCCUGUUUCCAAGCGUUCAAUAAUUGAAGGCAUCGAUGCAUUUAUCAGCGAGGCCAUGGAAGGAUACCAUGCUGCAACAUGGAGAGCUUGCUUCUGUGCACAUGUUUUACUCCAGUUGCCGAGGUUCUCUUUUGAAACUGAAGGAACUAAGCAGGCAUUAGCAAUUGUUUUUUGUAAAGCUGCAUUUUCACGUUCUCUUGACAUUCGAAGCAAGCCGGUGGCUUUGAGGAAACCUUUUUUGCUGGUUAUUGCAUCUCGUUAUAUAUGUUGCCCUGGUUAUAUAAAAAAGGUUUUGGAGAAGGAUGAGGAUGAAGGUCUCACUGUGUGGGUGUGUGGAGUCAGGAGUGGUAUAUAUUUUUGCUCAUUUGUUCCAGCCUGGUCUUUCAUCCGGCUCCGAGAUAAAGUUGGCUGGUGAGUUUGACUGCUUUGCUUUAGUCCCAAAUGGGCAAUAUAGAUUCCUGUGUGUAUCUUUAUACACACACACGCAUCCUAAUUUUGAAUGGUGAUUUUAGAAAUCUCUAAUAAAAUUUUUUAAGAAACUGUUGCCCUUAUAUUAAUUAAAAUACAUGUGUCUUUUUCUUUCUAUAAAACAAAUGGAGGGUGCUUAAUAUAAUUGUGCAUGCUUCGAAGUUACAAAUUUCUAAACUUUUUAUUUCCUUUUUACUUAUCAAAUUUACCUGAAAUUUAGAGGGUGUGUGCUGUUAGAAAGAUGUACCCUAAGAACACUAUAAAAAUAAUUUGAAUAGUGAAAAUGACCAAAAUAGUCCUACAAAUAUUUCAGGGGAUUUUGGUGAAAUGGUUUUUGAUAAUUUUUAUUAUUUCAACUUUUUGGGUCUGUGAUAGAUAGAUGGAUACAUGCCUCAAAUUUCAAAUGAAAAAAAAAAUUAAAAUUAAAAUUCACACGUUCCCAAUGAUCCAAUGAGGGAGCUUUGAAAUUUGAUAGUUUGUAUUCAUUCAUAAUUACCCUCAAUUCCCUCAUUUGAUAAAAGGGAAGACAUUAAGGUAGUUUUAACUAAUAUAAGGGCAACCUAUUGUCAAAACUUUUGGAGUAAUUUCUAAAAUCACCAAUAGGAUGGUUCAUUCUAGUAUGUAUAUAUAAAGGAAGGUGCUUCAGAAGUGCUUUAUCCAUGCUGGAAACGAGACAUUACAGAGAACCCUGGGUUAAAAAUUGUGGAGCUUUACCAUUGGAUUAUCUGGCCUAAAACAGUGGUCUCAGUAUAGUAUGUAUGGAAAUCCGUUGAAAUUGUAAGUAAUGUUUUUAACUUCAAUUACCAAAAACAAAAUUAAAAUUUUGUCUGCAAUACAGGGAUUUAGUUGUUGGUUGAUGGUGUCGGCCAUUGUAUCCUUUUGACUCAUAAAGGUCAAAACUUAUAUUUUUUUUAAAUAUUGAUCCAGAAGAACCAAUAAGAAGAGUAGUUACUUCUGGACAGUUGGUUUAGAUGCUUUUAUUGAGCAAGUGGUGCAUUGCCUUGUGAAGAAACAAUUGUGAAAGAGGCACUAGCAAGCCAAUGAACAAGCCACUGCCAAGUCUUUGAGAAAAUAGGAAAUGUUAGCUGCAACUGUAUCAGUUCAGAUAGGAAAAUGUGGAUCGUAAAGGAUGAAAAUUUUAUUUUUUGCCGUGGUUUCUAAGGAAAUGAAUGUAAACCCCUCGAGAGCCUCGAGAUUAGCAACUGGUUUAAGCAAUAAUGUACUUAUGUCGUGGUUUAAACAUAUGCCCAUUCUUUAGAUAUAUUUGAUUGUGAAGGUUCUGACGUAUUUUCUUUAUUUCAACUAAAACCUUGACAUUUUGGGUGUUCAAUUGGGCAAUGGUUUUUCCCAUCUAUUUUGAAGAGUGAUGUAUAUGACUUCUAAACUAAAGCCACUAGGAUUGAUUUUCUGAUACUUAUGGGUAACUGCGAAGACUUUCGAACAUUUUGUUGUAGUAAUCACAUUGACAAAGUUGGUGAAAAUAUUUGUGGGAUUGGCAUCUAGCUGGACUCUAAAAGCUGCACGCGUACGUGAAUUCUCAUUCUAGAGAUAAGUAGUCAAGAUCCCUUGUCUAGUACUCGGCAACACUGGAAAGAUAACUCUUCUACAUAAGUUGAAGAAUGAGUUUCCAGCUUUCCCGUUGCCAAACAGAUGAAAGUACGAGCACCACAGUUUUAUCAAACAGGGUUUCUAGCUUUCAUCCUACUAAUUUUCACCUGCAUCCCAGAAUUCAGGAAAGUCAUCAGCAAGGGUGAUUCCCAGGGAGACUGCAGUGGAAGUUAGUCUCAUCCCUCUGAUUUUCAAGGAUUUUGUGUGUUUAGUAAUGGUGUUGGCUGAGAAUUUGCAGUGAUAAAUCACAGAGGGGUUUGAAUUGAGAUGCCUAACUGGUGAAGCUGCAAUCACAGAGGGGCUUGAAAUUUAUGGGGAGAGCAAGCAUACAAAUCUUCUGUUGUAUUGAUUUGUCAGUGCAAUUCGUGGGAUAGACAUCAGAUUCUUAGCAGGUGGGUGGUUGUUCCUUGAUUGGAACAUGGUAUGCCUGAGGCCAUAUAGAAAGGCUACAAGGGUAUAUCGAAGCCAAUAAGGGGGCUUUUGGUGCUGUUUAUAAGCGAGUUUUGAGUGAUGGUAGGGUAGUUGGGGUGAAGAGGCUACAUGAUGUAAUGCAGGGUGAGGAAGAGUUUUGGGCAGAAGUGAGCACAAUAGGGAUGAUAUACCGCAUAAACUUUUUAAUGAGGAUGUGGGGCUUUUGUGCUGAUGGUUCACUCUGUACUGGAACCAGAGGCUUGAGAUUACUCUAGGCACAGCAAAGGGCCUAGCUUACUUGCAUCAUGAGUGCCUACAGUGGGUCGUACAUUGCGAUGUGUAACCCGAAAACAUACUACUAGAUGCAGGUUUAGAGCCCAAGAUAGCGGACUUUGGGCUGGCAAAGCUCCUUCAGUGAAGAGGUGAAGGGAGAAACAAUAAGUCCAUUUCAUACUUUAUAGGAGUACGUGGAACCAAUGUGGGGAUAAUGUAAAUGGCGUUGUUACAUGAACUUUCGAACCCAAUUUGGGGAUAAUGCAAAUUGCGUUGUUACAUGAACAUUUAUAUCAAUGUGUAUGCACUUGGAUCUAUUGUAAAGCUUUUGUUAUAUGAACUUUUGUUUUCAGCCGGUUUUAA